rnacentral:rRNA from 1 species
GACGAACGCUGGCGGCGUGCUUAACACAUGCAAGUCGAACGGAAAGGCCUGCUUUCCCUUGUGGAUUGCGGGUACUCGAGUGGCGAACGGGCGAGUAACACGUGAGUGAUCUGCCCCCAACUUGGGUAUAAGCCUGGGAAACUGGGUCUAAUUCCCGAUAGGACUGCAGGGUGGUGCCUGUGGUGGAAAACGAUUUUCUAGUGGUUGGGGAUGAGCUCGCGGCCUAUCAGCUUGUUGGUGGGGUAAUGGCCUACCAAGGCGGCGACGGGUAGCCGGCCUGAGAGGGUGGACGGCCACAUUGGGACUGAGAUACGGCCCAGACUCCUACGGGAGGCAGCAGUGGGGAAUAUUGCACAAUGGGCGGAAGCCUGAUGCAGCGACGCCGCGUGGGGGAUGACGGCCUUCGGGUUGUAAACUCCUUUCGACCGCGAGGAAGCCACCUGGUUGGAAGGGUGGUGACGGUAGUGGUAGAAGAAGCACCGGCUAACUACGU